GUUCCUGUAGCUCAGUAGGAUAGAGCAAUCGCCUCCUAAGCGGUAGAUGGUUCGAGUCUAAAUUAGGAAUA
rnacentral:tRNA from 1 species